rnacentral:misc_RNA from 1 species
AAAAGACCUUAUGAGGUUGCAAACCAAAUAUAGACCUGAAAUAUAAAAAUUGUUUGAUCUUUCAUUUGCUUUCUCAAAACUUCUUAUUGGCUCCAUCAGAGAUUGGUAGAGAAAUAUUUAAGAAGGGGUGCUGCAGAUAUGGAACUUGCCAAUAUGAUAGCAGUGUGUAUGGGCCAAUGUUAACCUGGACUAUGGUAUGCACUAAUUAUCUGUAAGUAGGUGAAAGAAGACGCAAAUACCUAAAGUUCAUAUUUAAAAGAAAUAAACUUUGAUAUAGCUUUUAUGUUAAAUAUGAGGCCCACA